GACAGAGGAUGCAAGCGUUAUCCGGAAUGAUUGGGCGUAAAGCGUCUGUAGGUGGCUUUUCAAGUCCGCUGUCAAAUCCCAGGGCUCAACCUUGGAUAGGCGGUGGAAACUACCAAGCUGGAGUACAGUAGGGGCAGAGGGAAUUUCUGGUGGAGCGGUGAAAUGCAUUGAGAUCAGAAAGAACACCAACGGCGAAAGCACUCUGCUGGGCCGACACUGACACUGAGAGACGAAAGCUAGGGGAGCAAAUGGG
rnacentral:rRNA from 1 species